GGAAAGGAUGGCAAUUUUCCUGCUAGCAAAUGGAAAUAUUCUGAUUUGAAGCAAAUCAAUAUUUUCUUUGAUGAGAAACCUGAGAUUUAUGAAGAUUUUAUGAUGGAAGUAAAGGAAGAUAUUCUGAAGAAUUAUCCUCAUUGUCCAGAUUUCAGCAAGUGUGUAAAUACUUUCACUCAUCUUCUCAAAGAAAAUGUUGUCUUCUCUUAUGAUUUGGAGAACAUUCGUGAAUUGCGAAAACAUAUGUAUAAAAACAAAGUGGACAUAGAACAGGAGAUGAUAAAAGACAUACAAGGAGAUGUGCAAAAGUCUGAGAAUGCUGAGAAAAAUUUUGAUUUAAAGGAUAUGUUAAGCAGGAGGUGGUUUCCAGCAGUUAAGAAGUUUGCUUACCAAACACUGAAGCUGAUCAAAAGAUCAUUGUAUCCCAUAGAGGAAGGGGCAGUUACCUCAAGGAUAGGUAUAGAUCCUAGCAAGCAAAAACAGAGUGAAGAAAUUGAAUGUGCUGAGGUGUAUGAGGCUGUCGAUGAAGAAUUCUUUCAACAUUUUUGUUCUAUAUUUGGACAACUGUUCUUCCUAGAGCCAGAUGCAGUGAAAAGAAAAACCAUGUAUUUUAAUGGAAAGACAGUAAGCAGUACACCAGAUUUAGCUUACUCACUACAUUUGGAGCCAUUUGCUGGAGUGACAGACAUACAGGACACUAUACUCUUUGUUAUUGAGGUGAAAAGAAAGCCAGUAAGAAUGAAAACUUCGGUCUCUGUAUCACUAGAAGAACAAGUUGGCCCCAGAGUCUUAGGACAAGUUGGAUUGGAAUUGUUUGCAGAGACAAAUUUUUCUGUAUUGAAACCAAACUCUCUGGGAAUCAUCUGUAUGGAAACCAAAUUUAUUUUCGUAUACCUGAGGAUGCCUGAGGACCAUUGCGUUAACGUUUUAUUGGGAGCACCGUUGGAAACAAAAGGAAAAAUCUCCUACACUCGUUCAUUUGAUAUGUUGAAUGCUGAAGACAGAUCAAAAAUAGCAGAGUUUUUGUAUUUCCUAGGAUGUGUUCAAAAUUGCCGAAUUCCUAAUUCUAAAAUAUGACAACUAUAUAGUUGACAUGUUAUUUGUAUUACAACAUAUUAAUCC
rnacentral:misc_RNA from 1 species